UACGUAGGCAGCAAGCGUUGCUCGGAAUUACUGGGCGUAAAGCGCACGUAGGCGGUCUUUUAAGUCGGGGGUGAAAUCCUGGAGCUCAACUCCAGAACUGCCUUUGAUACUGAGGAUCUUGAGUUCGGGAGAGGUGAGUGGAACUGCGAGUGUAGAGGUGAAAUUCGUAGAUAUUCGCAAGAACACCAGUGGCGAAGGCGGCUCACUGGCCCGAUACUGACGCUGAGGCACGAAAGCGUGGGGAGCAAACAGG
rnacentral:rRNA from 1 species